CCUACGGGAGGCAGCAGUGGGGAAUAUUGCACAAUGGGGGAAACCCUGAUGCAGCGACGCCGCGUGAAUGAUGAAGGAUUUCGGUAUGUAAACUUCUAUCAGCAGCGAAGAAAGUGACGGUACCUGACUAAGAAGCCCCGGCUAACUACGUGCCAGCAGCCGCGGUAAUACGUAGGGGGCACGCGUUCUCCGGAUUUACUGGGUCUAAAGGGAGCGUGGACGGCAUGGCAAGUCUGAUGUGAAAACCCGGGGGUUAACCCUGGGAUUGCAUUGGAAACUGUCACGCUAGAGUGCAGUAGAGGGAAGUGGAAUUCCUAGUGUAGCGGUGAAAUGCGUAGAUAUAAGGAGGAACACCAGUGGCGAAGGCGGCUCGCUGGACGGUAACUGACGCUGAGGCUCGAAAGCGUGGGGAGCAAACAGGAUUAGAUACCCGGGUAGUC
rnacentral:rRNA from 1 species